CCGAAUACCAUCCACGCACUUUAAAGAGGAUUAUGUUGUUGGUAUUCAACGAUUAGGAUGAACCUCCACUACUGUUCAUCAAUUGAGAAAAUACACAAAUCAAUAACUUCAAUCGGCUUAAUACCAUCAAAUUUUUUCAAUCCGGAAGAAAACUGAGAUGUUUGUCUUCAUUUUAAAUCGAUUCCUUAAAAUUCUAAUGGGUAAAUUGAAUUGCAGCUUAGUGGAUUUCUAUUUUAAGUGUUUUGAACCUUUUGAUAAUCCAAUGGAGGUUGGAAUACAGGGACGAUGAUGAUUUAAAAAGCCCAGGUCAUCAUCUUAUCAAGUCUUGUCUUCCAUUAAGUUGCAGAUGAGCCAUUCAUUUUUGAUCGGCGAUGCAUUUAUUUUUCUGGUAUCCAAAGGUCAUCAUCUUAUCAAGUCUUGUCUUCCAUUAAGUUGCAGAUGAGCCAUUCAUUUUUUGACAACCUAUGAUGUCACUGUUUUAUGCAGUUGGUUAGGACACCCUGUUGGCGACUAUUCCUCCAAGUGUAGCGUAAUCUCUGCGUUAUGGCGACAUUUUUGCAUAGCCUUCCAAAGUUGAACUUAUAAGGUUUCCAGGAUUUCCAUUUUUUUUAUGGAUUGAACAUCUCAUAGAGUUCAACAGGGGUGUUAGUCUGCAAUAGCUUGUCUUCUUACUCAUUGCUUGACAAUAGCACCCUGUAUUGCUACUUCUGCCUCUCAUACUUUUGUAUUACUCCAGCAUUCAUAAACUUACAUCAUUGUAUGUUUCUUAAGAACAAAAUAUAAAAAGAAGAUAUCCAUAAGUAAGCAUGCGACUAUAAAAAAAGAAACAAAAA